CCUCCAUGAACCUGCACCUCAUUUCUGCUUCUGUAAUUAGCUACACUUGGAGUUCUUUAGGGGCCAAAACCACAUCUCUAUAUCCCAGGACUUCAUCAGCACCUCCUGAAAGAUGUAGAAAAACAGAAAACAGAGAAACAUACAUUUUACAAAUAUACCCUGUGAUCCUGAGAACUAGAGGCUGUGACAUCUGACUACUUUCAGGUCCCUUCCUCUGCGUAGUCCUCUCUGUGAAAUUGGAGUCCUGCGUCCUGUUCUCCAGCCUGGUUUUCACGGAGCAACGUGGCCUGUCGGCAAACAUCUCAUGGUUUCAGUCAGCAAGUAUCAGCUCAUGAUCCGUUAGUAAGUACCCUAUGCCAGUCCCCUAUUUUAGACAUGGCCAUUUCCUACUUUUCAGUAUUAAGGACUCUGCUGCAGCUGCAUCCAGGCUGUACAGCCGAGGGCCUGUUUGAAGUGCUCCUUAUGAUAAAUAAAUUCCUAGAAGAGGAACACUUCUGGGUCAAAGACAUGUACAUUCCAAGCCCUUGGGAUGGAUGGAUGGAUAGGUAGAUAGAUAGAUGAUGGAAGAGAGAUAAUAGAUAGAUAGAUAAACAGAUGAUAGAGAGAGAGAUUAAUAAUGAUGAAGAUAGAUAGAUGAUAGGUAAACAGAUGAUAGAAGAUUGAUGAUGAUGAGGAUAGAUGAUAGAUAGAUAAUAGGUAGAGAGAAGAUAGAGAUAUAGAUGAUAAAUGAUAGAUGAUAGAUAGAUGAUAAAUAACAGAUAAGGAUAAAUGAUAAAUAGAAGAUAGAGAAAUAAAUAGAAGAUAGAUAGAUGAUUGAUUGGUUGAUUGUAGACAGAUGGUAGACAUGACAGACAGAUGAUAGAUAACAGAUAAGAAUAGAUGAUAAAGAGAAGAUAGCAAAAUAGAUUAUAAUAAUAGAUAGAAGGAAGAUAGAUAGAUGAUUGAUUGUAGAUAGAUGACAGACAUGACAGAUAGAUGAUAAAUCAAUAGAUAAUAGAUAACAAAUAAGGAUAGAUGGUAAAUAGAAGAUAGAGAAAUAAAUAGAUAAUAGAUAGAUAGAUGAUGAUAGAUAGAAGAUGAUUGAUUGUAGAUAGAUGUUAGAGAUGACAGAUGGAUGAUAGAUAGACAGAUAGAUGAUAGAUAAAUAGAUAGACAGACAGACAUAAUCC
rnacentral:lncRNA from 1 species